rnacentral:rRNA from 1 species
GCAGGGAAUCUUGCGCAAUGGGCGAAAGCCUGACGCAGCGACGCCGCGUGGGGGAAGAAGGCCUGUGGGUCGUAAACCCCUUUUCUGGGGGAAGAAUCCAGACGGUACCCCAGGAAUAAGCCUCGGCUAACUACGUGCCAGCAGCCGCGGUAAGACGUAGGAGGCGAGCGUUGUCCGGAUUUACUGGGCGUAAAGGGCGCGUAGGCGGCCAGGUCCGUCGGUGGUGUAAGCCCCAGGCUCAACUUGGGGAGGUCUGCCGAUACCACCUGGCUUGAGGACGGUAGAGGAGCACGGAAUUCCUGGUGUAGUGGUGAAAUGCGUAGAGAUCAGGAGGAACACCCGAGGCGAAAGCGGUGCUCUGGGCCGUCCCUGACGCUAAGGCGCGAAAGCGUGGGGAGCAAACCGG